ensembl:lncRNA
UGUACAUGUCAAAAUGUGGUUUAGAGCUAAAACCAGGAAUUUAAAAAAGCAGGUAGUUACAUGAACAGUUUACAGAUUGUAUUUGUCAUUGUUCUUAUUGCUGGUUAUAUAUUGUAAGAGAGUUAUCAAAUUAUCAUUCAUUUUGUGCACACAUUUCAUAUAAGUAAGCACUUACAUAAAGCCUGUAUUGAUAUGUAUUUACACUUCUUAGAGUUGCAGUGUUAAUGUUAAUAAAUACUAAAUUAGUUAGUCUCAAUGAAAGACACAAGAAUCAUUCUAUAUUUUUCCCAAAUGGAACAUUAAGGCUCAACAAAGCAAGAAUAAAUGACUCUGGAGAGUACAGCGUGGAAACACACAGUUCUAGUGACGAUGUGUUAUUGCACACAGUUAACAUCCAUUUGCACAUACUGGCUCCUGUGUCAGAACCAGCUGUUACGCAGAUGUGUUUGUCACCAAAACAGAUGACAGUCAGCUGUUUCUCUGAAGGAGACGAAGUAGAGUUCAUUUUGUCUUUGGAUGAUAAGUUGUUGAUACAGUCUACAGCUGACGGUAUAGAAAACAACAACAUUUCAAAUGUUACCAUCAACUUACCUGGUCAGCUGAUGGGAAACCUGACAUGUGUUGCUCAAAACAAUGCCAGCAGAAAACAAACUAUCACCCACCUUACAAGCUGCACAGCUCCUGUGUCAGAACCAGCUGUUUUGCAGAUGUGUUUGUCACCAGAACAGAUGACAGUCAGCUGCUCCUCUGAAGGAGAUGAAGUAGAGUUCAUCUUCUUAUUAGAUGAUAACUUGUUGAUAAAAACCCAACCCAGCAUUGCAGAAAACCACAACAUUUCAAAUGUUACCAUCAGUUUACAUGGUCAGCUGAUGGGAAAGCUAAUGUGUAUCAUCCGAAACAAUAUAAGCAGAGAACAAACCAUCAUCCACCUUAUAAGCUGCACAGGUUUGUAUUUCAUGGGCAUAUAAAAUUUCUAUUAUUUCUUCCACCUGUAUGGAUAGGUUGGGUUUCAGAAAUGUUACCAUCUGCUGUAUUAAAAGUAUGUACAAAUCUAGUACAGUGAGUUGUUGUAGACCUUUAUGUGACAUCCAGCAUAUUUACGUGAUCGCAGCUCUUAAAGCAUACAUAUUUGGUUUUUCUAGGUACAACUUCUGUGGUGACUGUGGUUGUACUAACAAGUGUUGCACCUCUACUUCUCAGUUUCUCAAUUCUCACUUUACUUUUGACUGUUAAUAAAGGUAAGAGAUGUUAUCUCAUGUCUUUCUUUGUCUCUCUGAAUUCUGCACCUAAUUAACCAAAAUUUUGACAAAUCAGUAUGUAUGCAUAUGUGCAGUAUAUUAAACAUUACAGAAAGUAAAAUGGUAAAGUAUGAAAAUUAUGGUUGUUAGAUUGAUACUUUAAUAUCUGGACUGAUUUUACAAGCUUUUAAUGCAUUAUUAACACAAUGUGACUACACCACAUUUACAUUUGUGGUGUUAUUUCUUUCAGGUGUUGCUGAAGAUAACAUUUUUUACUCCAAACUUGCAUACGAAGAAAACAUCAAUCAACACACAAAGGCCACAGCCAGAUGAGGGAGUCAGUCUCAGGGCUUUCUUGUUUUGAGGAAACAGUGCAAACAACCACAUCACCAUGCUGCCUCUACUCAUACAUUAUUACUUAUUUACAAGUAGUUAAUCUGCACAUUUAUAAUUUUUAUUCUUGUUAAUAAGCUCAUGUUUUACAUUUUUGCUUAACCCUUGGAGAUUAAAACAAGGCUCUGGUCAGUAGUGUUGGUGCUUUGCUUACAUUGUGUAUUGUUUAGAAAAUGUGAGCUGUGCCUCAAGCAUCAUAGCUACUCUUCACUGUGUGACCUUAGAAACCACAAACUAUAUCCUGUUUUCACUGAGCUGCUAAACCACAACUGCUGCCGUUGCACAGAGGUCAGUGUGCAACUACAGAAUCGGUAUCAUGCAUAACAAUGGCUUGUUUGUUCAUUAUUACAAAUCAUAGUAGAUGAUCCAUAAUAAUAAAUGCUCACUCAUUCUUAUGAAGCAACAAUACAAAAAACAUGAAGGGCACACAAGGCAGCUGGCAAUGAAUUUACAUAUUAGCCUGUUUCAUUGUGGAAAGAACUCUAACUGAUUAACUAACAUUUUAAUUAAAAUAUUUU